AUCUCCAACCAUACCACCCUGAAUGCACCCGAUCUCCUCUGAUCUCGGAAGCUAAGCAGUGUCAGGCCUGGCUAGUACUUGGAUGGGAGAAAUUCGGAAUCUCAGACC
rnacentral:rRNA from 1 species